rnacentral:rRNA from 1 species
CACGUAGGGUGCGAGCGUUGUCCGGAAUUAUUGGGCGUAAAGGGCUCGUAGGCGGUCUGUUGCGUCGGGAGUGAAAACUCAGGGCUUAACCCUGAGCCUGCUUCCGAUACGGGCAGACUAGAGGUAUGCAGGGGAGAACGGAAUUCCUGGUGUAGCGGUGAAAUGCGCAGAUAUCAGGAGGAACACCGAUGGCGAAGGCAGGUCUCUGGGCAUUAACUGACGCUGAGGAGCGAAAGCAUGGGGAGCGAACAGG